rnacentral:rRNA from 1 species
AGCGAACGCUGGCGGCAGGCCUAACACAUGCAAGUCGAGCGCCGUAGCAAUACGGAGCGGCAGACGGGAGAGUAACACGUGGGAACGUACCCUUUGGUUCGGAACAACCCAGGGAAACUUGGGCUAAUACCGGAUAAGCCCUUACGGGGAAAGAUUCAUCGCCGAAGGAUCGGCCCGCGUCUGAUUAGCUAGUUGGUGGGGUAAUGGCCCACCAAGGCGACGAUCAGUAGCUGGUCUGAGAGGAUGAUCAGCCUCACUGGGACUGAGACACGGCCCAGACUCCUACGGGAGGCAGCAGUGGGGAAUAUUGGACAAUGGGCGCAAGCCUGAUCCAGCCAUGCCGCGUGGGUGAUGAAGGCCCUAGGGUUGUAAAGCCCUUUCGGUGGGGAAGAUAAUGACGGUACCCGCAGAAGAAGCCCCGGCUAACUUCGUGCCAGCCGCCGCAGUAAAAC